rfam:Triticum aestivum genome assembly, contig: Triticum_aestivum_CS42_TGACv1_scaffold_556111_7AL
GUGAGCCUAGUGAUAGGAUACUAUCUAGCUUGGUUCGGAGAGCACUUGUUGGGUUUCAGAUUAGUUUUUUGCUAAAUGUUACGGCCUAAAUGCUGAACUAUUGACCCUAAU